rnacentral:lncRNA from 1 species
UUAUAUUGAACAUAAUUCACUAGUUGAGUAUGUAAAAGCAUUUCAAACAAACAAUAUCACUAACAAUAAAAAUAAAGGCAUGGUGGGUUGGAUGAAAUGAAAUAACAAAGAAAUAGAAUAGACAUUGUAAACUUUAAGUAGGAGCAGAAGUACAACCUUCCCACCUUUUCAAUCUCGCAAAAUUCUAAUAAAAAACAACAAUAAAUCCUGGACUUCUUCAUCUAAUCUGAUCUGAUCAAAGCAUGGUUGAGGGAAUCCAAAAUCAACUGCCUCAAAAACUUAAACUCUGUACCUUGUUCAUAAUCAUUCAUGGGCGAUCACGAACAGAGCCUUCAAAAUAAAUUGAACUCUAAAAUUUAGGAAAAACAAUCUUGAGUAUGAACCAAUACUUCAGUUACCUUCAAAAUAAACCCAACCCCAAAUUUUUGGACUAAAAAGUUUCGACUGUGAACCGAUACUUUAGUUAGGGUUACGGAAAGUAGAUAGAAAUCCAAGAGGUGCUGAUGAGGCUGGCAGGGGAAACCCACAUGUGGUGAUGGUGGUAAAAGUCAGAGACGGCAGUGUGUCCAACACUGAAUUGAAACUUUUUAUACGAACGAUUACAAAACAUCAAAAAUGAAAACCCCCAAACCAGAUUUAACCGGCAGUGUGAGAGUGAUUAACCGUUGUAGGAUCUUUGCCUGGACAUUUAUAUGAUCUGAAUUGAAGAACAACUGAAAUCUUUGAUCAAAGCUUUAAAAAGAAAGGAAAUCAAAGACCAUAUAACUGGGGAGAAGCAACACGGAAGCAGAAAAUACUGUAUCUUCGAUGGUGGGACUUCAAAUGAACGUCUUUAUUGGGGGUCUCCCAUGAUGUACAAAGACAAUGACUAUUGCAUUAAAUCGUCGGUUGAAUAGUUCUGAUUGGUUCAACAACAUACCAAACCUGAAGAGCAACCAUCAAUUCAUGAGUCCAAACCGUUGAUAGACGAAAUUGAAUCAAUGGCGUAAUAGAUGAAGGGAAAAUCCAUGUGAUAAUCUAAAAAUAAAAUGAAGCUUAAAGUGAAUACGAAGGUAGGGGCAUAGAAAGAAACGAAAAUAGGGUUGAAGUCCAUUACCUGAACCGAUUGCAGGUGUGGGUGCUAUCUAGGGCCCGAGUGCGUCGAGAUAUCGAUGCUAUGUAGGAGAUGGAAGCGAUGAAUGUGAAGAUGAGUAACAGGUGUUGACCUCUUCGCUUGAUCGGAAGCCAGGAAGUGGAAUUGAUAAAAGAAUAAUUUGAAGGAACAUAUCGUCGACGGUGGUGAAGACGGUAAGCACAAGUGUGGAGGAGGUGGUCUGGUGAUACCAAGAGAUGUCUUUGUGGGGUUUUCUGGAUGAGAAGAAAGGGGACAGAAAACGUAUCACAUCCAGAACAUGUAUCGCUUCCUGAAAGAAGCGGUGAUCACACCUGGCGUACACACCGACCAGGCAAUCCAAUAUGUAUUGGUUUAGAUCCGCCGCGGUGGAAAGAACACAUAUCCACCAAAAAUAAACAAAAUGGCAAAAUAUAACUUCUAAAAGAAAAGAUAUAGAAUUGUUAGCACAAAUAAGACACAGUUGAACAUGUAUGUAUUGAACAUGUAUAUAUAAAGUUGAACAUGUAUAUAUAAAGG